GGCCAAGAUGUUGAUAAAAGUAAAACACAGAGAGACAAAGAAAUAUGCAAAAUUGGAAGAAGUCAGCUUCACAGAUUUUGUGAGAGCAGGUAAGUUAUGGUUUGUACUAAGUCAUUAAAGAGGAAAUGAUAAUGUUGUUAGUAACUGAGUGAUGAUUUUACUUCAGUACAGCAGAAGUUUCUCAUACCAGAAAAUGCAGCACUGAAAGUCACAGAUGAGCAGGGUAUAGAGGUGGAUGAGGAUGUCUUUCCUGCACUUGCAGCAGGCAAAGAGGUGUGUUUUGUCAUCUAUACAGCUGAAGACAUCCUGGAAACACAAUCAUCCAAGAAGCUGCGCGACUGCUCACACCUAACACACUAUGUGACACUCACACCUUGUGAUUUGACUGUCCUGAAGCAACAUGUGGAAGAGUCCUCCUCUCCAACUCUAACAGAUACAUUUUCUGUCUCAACCACCAGCAGUCAGAGCAGUGACACAAGUGAUGCCGGACUUCAAACGGUUCAGCCUCUAUUGGACAGCAUACAUGAAAGAAAUGUAGAUACGGUACUUAAUUGACUUAUACUUGACUCUUUAGUUGCCAUUGAGCUAUAGUCAAAAUCUCUACCGUUGGCCAGAUUCAUAUUGUUUCUAUCUAUAGCCCUAUAAGCGUAAAAACUACAAUCUCUAUCAAAAAAGGAAAGUUUGGAGUCUAACCUUAGAAGUAGAGAGGGUGUCUGGGAUCUUUUGCUUUUACUCUUGAAUGGUUUCAUAAAAUAUUCACUGGAUCUUUCUCUGGGACAGCCAGUCCACUGAAAAAGAUGCUUUCUAUUUAGUUUUUUACAAAUGUCUCUCAAAUGAGUAAAUGCUUUGUUUGUGUAUAAUGAACUUACAGGAAAGUCUAUUGAAACUAUUUCAAGUGUUUCCGUCAGGCAGCAGCUGUCUGAGAUGAUGGUUGAUAAA